ensembl:lncRNA
AAAAAAAGACCGCUUUGGAUGGGAAGGCUGUUUCCACAGCCAAGAGGAAUUAUUUGAGUUGGCUAAUGUAACACGGCCAGUUGAGCCUUUGCCUUUCGUAUCAUUACUUGCCUGCCUCCCUCCUCCUCGGGGCAGUCUGAAGGAAGGGAAGGAACAGACAGAUGUUCCUGGCCUGUGCUUCUGGGAUGUUAGAGCACAUCCAAGAGAUUUGUCACUCUCCAGAGGCACCCAGGUGGGAACUGGAACUCGCUGCUGGGUCGUGAGGGUCUCACUGUCAUCCUGGGAAGUUGUUAAUGAAAUCCCAGGACUUUUCCAAUUGCAAAAUAAAUAGGAAAAAUAAUAAAACAAAAAAGGAUAAAACAACAACAACAGGAAAAAAAAAAACACAAAUUUAUGUGAAGGGAGGGAAGAUGCAUUCAUCUUCUCUACCACUUCUGUUGCUUUUUGUUGCCCUUAGAAAAGCAGGCUGGUCCAAACAAGAAGGAGGUGGCUUCUGGCCAUUCCUCUUCUGCCAUUCUUACAGUAAAAGAAAAAAAGAGAAAGAGAAAAUUGAAUUUUUAGUCAACAGUUUUCACAAAAGACCAGGAUCCUGUCCUGCAAACCCCAGAUGGAAUGGCCAGGCAGGUCCCUAUGGGAUCCCAGUGUUUCAGUGGCCCAGGUCAUUGGAGUUUUGGGUUAAGGGAGUAGUAGGUGGCAAGUUGGCAUCAGUUUGUGUUGCCCUGGUGGGUCUCACUGUCUUCUGCAGCCCAAGAAUACUUAUAUCCACAUAGUAAUGAUGAAGAUUCAUUUGUAAGGAUGAAAACCCCAUAAAUUCUGGUGUGAUUUAUUCACUCAAACCACACAGAGCAUGCAAGAUAAAGUCAGAUCAUACAAUCUAAUGAAAAGUAGGUUCUGGCAUUAUUCCACCUAUCACAGAACUGUCCUCAGACUGGAAAUAAAAGCUCACAGCAUUCUGCUCCUCAAGAGUAGGCACCAUUACUUUAGGAAAAGGAAAUUAGUUAUGGUGAUAUCAAAGCUAUAGGUCAUUCUCAGAGAGACAUCUUUCCAGUUUUUAGGGGAUGAUGCAAAGUUGAAUGUCAUGAGUGCGUGGGAACCAUCAGCAAAUAUAACUAGCUACAAAACAUCAACAUGGCUGACAUUAAUGGCUCAGAAUAGAGUCGAUUCUGCAUUUUUUUUCCUCCACCUUUCCUCUCUUCCUGUUGUCAUGUGAGGCACACUCCCAGCCUGAACACAUCACAUAAUUCCUCUUUGGUUCUCUCGUUGCAGCUCAUAUGUCCUUCAUUCUCACACCAUAUUUAAAAUCACUACAUAAUUCAAUUUUUGUAGGAACACAUUUACUCCCCUGUAUUCAUCCCAGAGAAGGAGGAAUUUUUUGAUGAUUUUUUUUUCUUGCAGUGCUCAUUCUCAUGCCCUUUCCCCUCUGCAGUGACAGUCAGUCUUCCUCUGAUCUACUCAAAAACAAAGAAUAAAUGAUAACAUACUGCUGUCGGUGCUAUAUUUCCUCGUAAUUGAUAUACUUACUUCCUUUAUAGAGGUGUUUUACCUUUGGACCUCUUUUUCAAAUAAAGUGGCGCGCUAUCAGCAAGAUAUAUUCAAGAGCAAAAACAUAGACCCAAAGAGUGCAAACACGCUCCAAGAAGAGAGAAGGGGAUGAGGAGAGAAGCCAAGCCACCAGCCCUGCGUCUGACUGUUGGAUUGGGAUUCAGGGCAGGAGUUAGGAUGCUUCACAUCCCAACAGCUGCACUCUGUCUUCAGGAUCUGAGAAACUGGACAAGACAACUGAAAAGGAAUCCAGUUGUUUAAGCUUCGGCUGCAAUUGUGUUUAUAUUUGUUUUGCUUGUAACCUUUUGUUUUCAGCCUUGCAACUAAAAGCCUGACCUUGUCUUGCUUAAUAAACCUUGUGCAGAAGCUUUA